rnacentral:tRNA from 1 species
AGUUGUUAUCCAUGGGGAAUAUUUGUCUUGAAAACAAAUCUUGAGUGUUCGAAUCACUCAACAACUU